CCUACGGGAGGCUGCAGUGGGGACUAUUGGGCAAUGGGCGCAAGCCUGACCCAGCAACGCCGCGUGAAGGAAGAAGGCUUUCGGGUUGUAACCUUCUUUUGUCAGGGAAGAGUAAAAGACGGUACCUGUCGAAUAAGCCACGGCUAACUACGUGCCAGCCGCCGCGGUAAUACGUAGGUGGCAAGCGUUGUUCGGAUUUAAUGGGUGUAAAGGGCGUGUAGCCGGGUUGACAAGUCAGAUGUGAAAUCCUGCGGCUUAACCGUAGAACUGCAUGUGACACUGGUGGUCGUGCGUACUGGAGAGGCAGAUGGAAUUCCUAGUGUAGCGGUGAAAUGCGUAGAUAUUAGGAGGAACACCAGUGGCGAAGGCGGUCUGCUGGACAGCAACUGACGGUGAGGCGCGAAAGCGUGGGGAGCAAACAGGAUUAGAUACCCUGGUAGUC
rnacentral:rRNA from 1 species